AAGUUCCAAGUCACACAAAAACAAUUUCAAAAUGGCAAGAGUGGAAAAACAAAAUUUCAAAUAACCAAGGAAUUCACGGUCUUCCUAGAGUCACUUGGAAGAGCUGCAUAAGGCCAAAAGUAGGGCCACACACAUGAACAAACAUCUUCCUUUGAUGCUCUGAUCAUCAAGGCACCACACAAUUUCACCUCAACUAGACAGCUACCAGCGUUUUGGAUAUCUUCCAACUCCUUCCCUUUAAUAACUCAUAAAAUGAAUAAUUUGGGUAGUAUAUAUUGUAACUUCUCUCUCUUCUACUCCUCCAGGGGUGUUUGGGUCACAAGUCCCAGGCAUACAAACACCAGUGUUUCCCAAAAUCCAAUGUGCAGACUGAUACAGGCCCAGGAUGAGGCUGGUAUUUUUUUUAAUCAAUUUAAAUCACAAUAAAAAAUAAAAAGAACAGGGAGUUCCCGUUGUGGCACAGCGGAAACAAUCCAACUAGGAACCACGAGGUUUCAGGUUCAAUGCCUGGCCUCACUCAGUGAGUUAAGGAUCCGGCAUUGCGGUGAGCUGUGGUGUAGGUCGCAGACACAGCUUAGAUCUGGUGUUGCUGUGGCUCUGGCACAGGCUAGCAGCUGUAGCUCCGAUUCAACCCCUAGCCUGGGAACUUCCAUAUGCCAUAGGUGCAGCCCUAAAAAGCAAAAUAAAAUAAAAAAUAAAAAGAACAUGCUUUUUACAAAGCUAAAUGUAUUCAAUUUUAAGUACCUGUCCUUUAUUUUGAAAUUAUGUCUUCUUGUAUGUUUUUAAAUGUCUUCUAUAAAAUGAUGGUGUAAGAAGAGAUGUUAUUUUUAACAUCCUUAUUUGGCAAAAUAAAAGUUGGCAAUCUUUAUAGAGUAUCUAAAUAAUGUUAAAUUUUUACUACUUAAAAAAUCCAAUGCUGUAUAAAACAAAUACUGAAAGUCUGAGAAGGGAACAAGGUUUUCUAGUCAGAGUUGGCCCUAGAGGAUAUAAAGUCAACCUCCACAUUUCUGGAAGCUUUUAUUUAUCAUACCUCAUUCAAAGAGGGGCAACCUUUGCUCCUAUUCCAUUCUAGAGAAGGCUAGGAAUUUUCUUCACAGUGUCCCUAACAUCCAUCCUAUUUUUCAGUCCUUCCAAAAUUACUUUCUGCUGGUUGUUAAAUAUGAACAUAAAAUGAUUGGGGUAUCAUGUCAACCUAUCACAAGGGGCUGUAAAAGAAUAAGAAGAUACAAGAAUAGGAAGUUCACGUGUGGCGAGGCAGGUUAAGGAUCCAGCAUUCCCGCAGCUGCGGCGCAGUGGUAACUGAGGCCCAGGUUCAAUCCCUGGCCCAGGAACUUCCACAUGCCAUAGGCACGCCACCACCCCCCCACUGCCCAAAAAAAAGAUGGUAGAAGACUAUAACAAGGUACUUUAGAACCCCUUAAAAUGGUAAAGAUUAGAGUGUGUGUAAGAAAAAUAAGUGAAUGAUUUGGACAGAAAAGAACACAACCAGGAUGAGUGAAAAUAUAAAACUAUUCUCUGAUUUAACAAUGAAUUCCAUUGCUCAAUAUGAAUUAUGAGCUGGUGAGAUGGAAUGCAAAGUGGAAAAGUUUUUCCACAAAAACAAAACAGGACUGGAUUCCAGGGCGGUCUAGACUGACCAUUAACCUAGAUUAUCCAAGAAGUACACUUAACUCAGAAUUCAGAAACAGCUCUCCCCCAACUCACAAGGCUAAAUUUGGGGAAAAGGAGGCUAAAUGCUCUUCAGGGUUAUUAAUUUGCUAAAUUCCCUUUGUCUGUAAACAAAACCAGCAAUUCUUCAUACCACUCUGAUGCUGACAGAACAGAAAGCCCUAAACUGAAAGAAAGAACCACCCUAAAUUGCCCACUUCCUGCUACACAAAAUCAGGAAAAAAAUGGAAGUUACUCUCCCAAGAGCAAAAACCAGGGGCUCAGAUUCAGCUCCUCCAAGCUAGCUUCCAUUAGGCAUUCAUCCUCUGUCAAAAUGAGUCAUGGUCAAUUACACAUCUUUUUUGUGAAAAUGUCUGCAUUACAUAAAACGUAACAUUUUUGCCAUUUUGAAGUGUACAGUUCAGUGGCACGAAGUACAUUCACAUCGUUGUGCAACCCAAAUUCUGCAACUUAAUCCUGGGUCCCUAAGGAUUCUGUAGCCUGUUACGUUUUCAUUUGCACGAAAGAAUAAAUUUUUGCUCCCCACUCCCUAAUCUGCCUACUUUUUAGGGCUCAUUCCUAAUGAGAGACUCUGGUUUUCCAUAGCACAGAAUACCAGUAAAUAUCAUUAUAACCCAGGUGCAAAACUAUCCUGAUUAAAAUUAUCCUGACGACUACACUAAGUCUCAGCUCCAUGCACUCAACUUGGCAAGUUAAUCAUGAAUGCAUCUGCCUGCAUUCCAAUGGAAUGAAAAUUUAUAAUCCCUUUUCUGCAGACUUUUUAACAUACAUAUUAACAACUUUAUUGAGAUUAUCUCUGACAUAUAGAAAUGAUGUAUUUAAGGUGUACAACUUAAUGAUUUCGUUAUAUAUAGUGGGGAAAAAAAAUCACCAUCAAAUUAAGUAACUCAUCCAUCACCUCUACAUAGUACCCGUGUGGUGUGGGUUGAUUUAAGGUCUCUUAGAAAAUUGCAAAUAUUCCUCUAAUAAAUAAAAAAUAUUCAACUAGGGAAGACUCCUCAUUUAUAUUACCACCAUGGCUAUGGUUUUAUCUAUCAGGAGCUACACAUGGGGGGGGGGGGUUAAACGGUAAAAAGAAAAAAAAAAGGGGGAGCAUAAAAUUAAAAUUAAAGACUUUGCUCAAAUAACUAAAACUCAAUUAAUUUUCACAGAAGAUAUACAGCAUAUAUCAAGAGAUACAUAGCAUAAUAGCUUUUGCUUCAUCAAUAGAUGCAGAACAUAAUAGCUUUUGCAUCAAUCUGCUACAAACAGCUUCUCCUAGCAACAACCAAUUCUCCACCAUCCUUGCCGCUUAUUAAUUUUUCAAGAUAGGGUAUUUGAGUGUACCUAUUACAUUCACAUACUGUCAAACGCAAUCAAUAUGUCAAAAUUUAUUUAAUGACAAAAUUGCACUUGGUUCCUAUAACUAGCUAGCUACUCUUUUUUUCCCUAAGACAUACGUAUACAUAAAAUACACCAGUUCUGCCAAAGGAAGAAACUACCAAUUUCCCCAUGAACUUGUCCGCUGGUUUACUAAUAAAGCUAUAUACUGUUUCAUAAAUGAGAAAACCCAGGUGUCUCAGGUUCCAUCUUCAGCUCCCGUGGCUAAGCUGCUGGAAAAAAGGAGACUUUCUUGCCUACACACUCAGUACAAUGGCUAGAUUAUCAUGAGCACUCAAGGAAUACUGACUGGGACUACUCUCACAGUGCUGACUCAUCCAUUUCCCGAGGUGAUGCUGGGGAAAUAGCCCUGGACCAUCCUGAGAACACAGCUCACAGGGUAAUUACAGUACAGACAGCAGCACAGACCAAAGAAGCACCAAGUGAAGGGCCCAGCAGCCCAGGAACAGCAAACUCUGCUAAACAAACACACUGAUCAUUUUUAGAGCUGAGGUUCUAUUUAAACCAAUUUGCAUGACAGUUCAUUUCACAGAAAUUACUUCAUAGCCUAAGGAAUCCCUUGUGAAAUCGUAGUUUCCAGCAGUACCAAUUUAAAUUUAUUUUUAAACAGGCUAAUAAAUAAUGAACUAAUCACUGAACCAUCAUGGCCUCACACAGACCUGCAUCAAAUCAGACUUGCUUAUCUCACAGGCUGCCAAUUAUUUUUACUAAAAAUUAACAAAUGCUCCAUUAGGGGAUGAAUUCUGCCCUAUUAAUAAUGAAGAUACAGAAGAGAGGAUUAAAUCGGUAAACUGGCCAUUCGUGUGACAGAAGAUUCUAAGGGAACACCAGGAGUUAAGAUUCUUAAGGAGACUUAAUGGUAGGGCUCAGUUAACUCCUGAAAAACCAGGCCAACUGGGUGGCAGAAAUCCCAUGGCGUUAACCGUGGUAUGUGCUUCCUCUGAACCACUUAUCUCGAGCCUGGAGCUUUCUUUCAUAUCUCCUCCUGCACUAGAAUUUAUAACAUUCCUCAGAGCCAAGCAAGAAUACAGACUAUCUUCCCAAAUUUUAGUGAGAAGCACUCCACCAAGACAAGGUCACCCUGCUAGUGAGGUCUGGAACAGUCCUCAGCACCACAGUCAUGAGCGUUCAGAGAACGCCGAUUUAAGGUAAUGGCCCAGCCACCAUAGCUAUGGAUCAGAGCAGCCCUUCCCAGAGAUGGUGGCCUGAGGCCAUCCAUCACCAUUCUGCAUCAGUCAUCAGGGCAGGGUACUCACUGAGUGCCAAGCACUGAGCUCAGAACUGGGUGUAAUACAUAAUUUAAUCCUGGUAAUUCUUUCAGGUGGGUACCGUCAUUCUCAUCUUAUAGAUGAGGAAACUGAGGCUCAGAAAAGUAAACUUGCCAGGUCACUCAGUAUAUCACAGAGCUCAGAUAGGAACCCAGCGUUUGACUCGAGAGCCCUGUUCUUCCAACCCCCUAAAGCUGCCACCUAAGCUGAAACCCAGGCCAUUCUGAGAAGUAGAAAAAGUGCUAGUCAGAAAAGUCAGCAGACUCACAUUUUCAUCAACUCACACUUCCUACACUUGUGACUCUGAGCCUUAAAUUCCUCUUUUAGAAAAAAAUUCAACUAAAGCCUCUCUCCACUCACAGGUUGUUGUUUAGGUAAAACAACUUAGUAAAUGGAAUCAUGAGGUAGUUCUGAUCUACAGCCCAGUGAUUUCUUUAUGGCCCUGCCUGCGGCAUAGGGAAGUUCCAGGCCAGGGACUGAACCCACCUCACAACAGCGACCCUAGCCACAGCGGUGACAAUGCCGAAUCCUAAACCCACUGAGCCACCAGGGAUUUCCACAGUCUCUUACCUUAGGAUCACACUGCUAUGUUCAUAUAACAGCCACAGAAUUGGGUGGGGAUGGAAUCUGAGAUCAACACAGAAGGCUUUUCAUCUGGGGGCCCUUCCCAGUCUGAUUUCUUCUCUUUGGGGGCAUCUGUCUGAAGGAUACUCGUUCUAGAGACAGAUGUUUCUAAUGCAUCCUCUGGCUGAGG
rnacentral:lncRNA from 1 species